AUUGAACGCUGGCGGCAGGCCUAACACAUGCAAGUCGAACGAGUGGCGGACGGGUGAGUAAUGUCUGGGAAACUGCCUGAUUUAGGGGGAUAACUACUGGAAACGGUAGCUAAUACCGCAUACCAUCGGAUGUGCCCAGAUGGGAUUAGCUAGUAGGUGGGGUAAAGGCUCACCUAGGCGACGAUCCCUAGCUGGUCUGAGAGGAUGACCGGACACACUGGGACUGAGACAAGGUCCAGAAGCCUAGGGUAGGCAGCAGUGGGGAAUAUGGCACAAGGGGUGCAAGCCUGAUGCAGCCAUGCCGCGUGUAUGAAGAAGGCCUUCGGGUUGUAAAGUACGUUCAGCGGGGAGGCGUUACCCGCAGAAGAAGCAGCGGCUAACUCAGUGCCAGCAGCCGAGGUAAUAC
rnacentral:rRNA from 1 species